GACGAACGCUGGCGGCGUGCUUAACACAUGCAAGUCGAACGGAAAGGCCCUGCUUUUGUGGGGUGCUCGAGUGGCGAACGGGUGAGUAACACGUGAGUAACCUGCCCUUGACUUUGGGAUAACUUCAGGAAACUGGGGCUAAUACCGGAUAGGAGCUCCUGCUGCAUGGUGGGGGUUGGAAAGUUUCGGCGGUUGGGGAUGGACUCGCGGCUUAUAAGCUUGUUGGUGGGGUAGUGGCUUACCAAGGCUUUGACGGGUAGCCGGCCUGAGAGGGUGACCGGCCACAUUGGGACUGAGAUACGGCCCAGACUCCUACGGGAGGCAGCAGUGGGGAAUAUUGCACAAUGGGCGGAAGCCUGAUGCAGCAACGCCGCGUGCGGAUGACGGCCUUCGGGUUGUAAACCGCUUUCGCCUGUGACGAAGCGUGAGUGACGGUAAUGGGUAAAGAAGCACCGGCUAACUACGUG
rnacentral:rRNA from 1 species